GAAAAGGGUAUGGUAAGAAUUUGGCAAUUGUGGAAAAAUAAAUUGAAAUGUGCAGAGUUGCAUAAUAUAAAAUCAUUUUAGACUCAAGCAGUUCAUUAAGACCAAUUUAUAUGGUACAAGAUGCAAGAAAUUGCAUGCAAGAUCAAAAUAAUGCACGUCACUUCUCAUUGCAUUGGCUGCCACUAUCAAAAAUUCCGUUAGUUAAAGUAAACAAAAACCUAACCGCAAUUAUUAUUCAAUAUUUUGUAACCAGUUUAAAAAUGAGAACAAAAUUAAGUAAAUAACAAAGUGGUCAGUGGAUCACUAAUAAUUAUAUCAGCUGCUGUCUUUGUUUUGAAGUCUGAUGGACAGGUUUGUUGUGAAGCCAAAAACAAUAAUGAUCUGCGUAUGCCUUUCAUCAAGAAAUAUUAUGCCUUUCGCGUUGUACUGCAUCAUGUCAAGCGGCCUUUAUUGAAAUUUUCAGUGACUUGCAUUACACAAAAUGUUUAUUUUAAUUAGGGAGAUAUGGUGAAUAAGGUUGUUGGGUUUUGGGGACUAAUCAAUUUUUUUAUUUAUAUAUAAAUUUACAGUUGUGAUUAAAAACUUUUAUUGGAAUUGAUUUAGUUAACAUUAUUUUUGUUUAUGAUAUAAAAACCAGUAAAUGGCAAACAUAAAAC